AUAGUUUGAAACGUUGCGACAUCGAGAUGUUCACAUCACAGCGCUAUAGCGCGAUUAACAAUAAGAUUUACCUUGACGAAGUCGCAAAAGAUUUAAUCUUUCAUGAAAUGCCUGAAUUUUCAAAUGAGAAAUCAACCAUCAUUCUCGAUUCUAUCCUAACAUAAUUCAAAGGAUUUUUAUUAUUCGAAGGAAUUCAUGAAGAUUUCAAAAAUAUAAUUAACGAUUGUACAAUUUGAUACAGAUACUUGGAAAAUUAGGCUAAGCGAUGCCAGGCUGUGUCAACUUAAAAUAUCGGAUUAUAGAAUAAAGGAUCAUUAACAUGUCUAAUGUCAA